AUUUAAAUAGCUUAUUAUUAUUAGAGCGUGGUUUUGAAGCAGCCAAGGAAAUUGCAUUAAUUUUUAAAUA
rnacentral:tRNA from 1 species